rnacentral:lncRNA from 1 species
UACUUAUCAAAAAAAUUCAUCAUCGUAUUCAAAACAAGAAAAUAUCACAGUCAAAUUAUUGUCCAGUGCUAGAAAUCUUGUCAAGUGAAACUUUAACAGAGGUGUCCUUGGAAGAAUCUCGCCCAAUGCCUGCUACAGUGCACGCAACGCCAAUUAUAGGGCACCUAACGCUAUUUUUGACGCCUAGGCGAAAAUCCAUGGCCGCCCAA